rnacentral:rRNA from 1 species
UACGUAGGGUGCGAGCGUUGUCCGGAAUUACUGGGCGUAAAGCGCGUGUAGGUGGCGAUGUAAGUCGGGUGUGAAAUCCCUCAGCUUAACUGAGGAAGUGCACUCGAUACUGUGUCGCUUGAGUGUUGGAGGGGAUGGCGGAAUUCCCGGUGUAGAGGUGAAAUUCGUAGAUAUCGGGAGGAACACCUGUGGCGAAGGCGGCCAUCUGGACGAACUACUGACACUGAGACGCGAAAGCGUGGGUAGCAAACAGG